rnacentral:rRNA from 1 species
UACAGAGGGUGCGAGCGUUGUCCGGAAUCACUGGGCGUAAAGGGCGCGUAGGUGGCGCUCCAAGUCUGUGGUGAAAGCUCGACGCUCAACGUCGAGUCGGCCACGGAGACUGGAGGGCUCGAGCACUGUAGGGGCAGAUGGAAUUCCGGGUGUAGCGGUGGAAUGCGUAGAGAUCCGGAAGAACACCGGUGGCGAAGGCGGUCUGCUGGGCAGUUGCUGACACUGAGGCGCGACAGCGUGGGGAGCGAACAGG